rnacentral:rRNA from 1 species
AAUAUUGCACAAUGGGCGCAAGCCUGAUGCAGCAACGCCGCGUGAGGGAUGACUGCCUUCGGGUUGUAAACCUCUUUUAGUAGGGAAGAAGCCGCAAGGUGACGGUACCUGCAGAAAAAGCACCGGCUAACUACGUUCUGGCCGCCGCGGUAAUACGUAGGGUGCAAGCGUUGUCCGGAAUUAUUGGGCGUAAAGAGCUCGUAGGCGGCUUGUCGCGUCUGCUGUGAAAACCCGAGGCUCAACCUCGGGCUUGCAGUGGGUACGGGCAGGCUAGAGUGCGGUAGGGGAGAUUGGAAUUCCUGGUGUAGCGGUGGAAUGCGCAGAUAUCAGGAGGAACACCGAUGGCGAAGGCAGAUCUCUGGGCCGCUACUGACGCUGAGGAGCGAAAGCAUGGGGAGCGAACAG